CCCUCCGCUUUUCUUGGCUUUUGCCGUGCUUCCUCAUAUGUGUGCAGUGAAUUUCCGAUUCUACCCAUCCAGCCCACGCGUCCUGCAGCCUUUCUUUCUCUCCUUCGAUUCAUCUGUUUCACUUUACCUUUUGGCUCUCCAUUUUCUAGUUUCCUCAUCUAGGUUUUCCUCCGCCUUCAUCGUUGUGCGCCCUGUUUUCUAUCAAUUUCUUCCUCUUGGUUUCACAAAAUUACCUCCGGGCAGACACGUUCUUUGAUUUUUGGAAUAGUUGUUGGCUGUUCUUCUCUGUUUUUGGGUGCGAACCGUAUCGAUUUCGUCUUUUUCGCCUUUUUGUUAACUGAUUUUCGCUCAAUUUUGGGUGAUCUUUGUAUUCAAGUGAUCGUCAGACAAAUCGUAUUCAGUUUGGUUGAAAGAUUUGACGGCUAAGUUACUAAUAAAGCAAAGACUGAGCCAUGGUGAGACACAAGCUUUCGUUACACCCUGCAAACUGGUGAAAAUAUUGGUCUCCAGAUUUUGGGGGUUUUGUGAACAGCGAUGCAAGCCCUUUCGAAUAAAGUUGUUUGAUACUGGAGUGUUUCAUGAUGAUCCUUAUCGUUUCCCGAUUUCAUGAUGCUGCAUAUCAACUUGAUGAGGACUAUAGUGAGAAUGGUGAUACUUAAGGAUAUUUUAUCUAUAUUAUAGUAAUCAAGAAAUGAAAACAUAGAUAUUUUUGUAUUUUGUAACUACACCGAAUUGUGAACCUUACAUUAGUUUAUAUUACAUGAAUUUUGUGU